ensembl:lncRNA
AACACACGCUACAGAACACACGCUACAGAACACACGCUACAGAACACACGCUACAGAACACACGCUACAGACAGAACACACGCUACAGAACACACGCUACAGAACACACGCUACAGAACACACGCUACAGAACACACGCUACAGAACACACGCUACAGAACACACGCUACAGAACACACGCUACAGAACACACGCUACAGAACACACGCUACAGAACACACGCUACAGAACACACGCUACAGAACACACCUUACAGAACACACGCUACAGAACACACGCUACAGAACACACGCUACAGAACACACGCUACAGAACACACCUUACAGAACACACCUACAGAACACACGCUACAGAACACACGCUACAGAACACACGCUACAGAACACACGCUACAGAACACACACUACAGAACACACGCUACAGAACACACGCGAGAUGUUUACAGUGUAGUUUGGGGGUUGUAACCGCCACCACAGGACACACUGUUAGCAGUCUGCUUGUGUUUUUGUAUUUUUAGAUAUUUUAUAGGAAUGCUUUCCCCUUGUCUAAGGGUAAUGGAUGGGGUGGGGGGCGAUGAGUUUAAAGGUUGACUCAGUGAUAUGACAUGGUAACACACCGGGGCGACUUCCCGGCUUGUAGACAUCAACAACGAUCUGCCAAGACUACCACUAUUGGUUCUUCUCUUGAGGCGUGACGCCCACAUUGGGAAGAGCGGUCAGUGGUGGUCUCGGGAUAUAAUAUAUGACUUGUGUUGUUACUGAUGUCUGGAAGCAGGAAGUAGCUCCCGCUGUGUUACCAUGUCAUAUGGCUGAGUCUACCUCGAACCCCUCUGCUCUCCUCAGGGUACAGUGAAACCGUGGGUUGUACAAAAGACGGCAGCAGCGUGGUCUGCUUUUUUUGUUUGUACCUUUAAUAAUAGUCCUGUAAAAGUGAUGUAUCAUAAUGUCCCCCGGUAAAGGCCGGGCGUCGCCUGUCUCGCCGUCCGUAACCAGGACUACUGCGGUGGGCAGCGGCAUGUGUACAUUUUGAAGUGGCGAGCCUUGUGUAUCUGAAUAGGAGCAUCUUCUGUAACCAUAAUGUGUAUAGUUCUAACAGAAACCUGUGUGUGUGCUUGUUGCCUGGGCAACUAUUUUUUUUGUAUCUCCUGUUGUAGAUUGUCUCUCUAAACAAUGAUGUGUGAUUAUUUUUUAUUUUGAAACAAAACUGAACACAAAAAAAAAACCUGUAGUUUUGGAGUGUGUUUUGUUGUUGUUGUUUGUCUGUGAUUUGUGUU